UACAGAGGUCUCAAGCGUUGUUCGGAUCCAUUGGGCGUAAAGGGUGCGUAGGCGGCGCGGUAAGUCGGGUGUGAAAUCUUGGAGCUUAACUCCGAAACUGCAUUCGAUACUGCCGUGCUUGAGGACUGGAGAGGAGACUGGAAUUUACGGUGUAGCGGUGAAAUGCGUAGAUAUCGUAAGGAAGACCAGUGGCGAAGGCGGGUCUCUGGGACGGUACUGACGCUGAGACGCGAAAGCGUGGGGAGCAAACAGG
rnacentral:rRNA from 1 species